GCCCGGUUAGCUCAGUUGGUUAGAGUACUUCCUUGACAUGGAAGUGGUCAGAAGUUCGAGUCUUCUACCGGGCA
rnacentral:tRNA from 1 species